rnacentral:lncRNA from 1 species
CGGCUCUCCUCCUCUUUAGCGUUGCGUUCACCAAAUCCCCCCAAGUACAUCCCGUCGAAGAGGUGGGGGAGGCCUGGAGCCCCAGCAAGCUCCGGUGCCAGGUGGAGUGGGAGUUCCGCUCUUAUCAGCUCAUCACAUUCCGCGCAUUCCCACCGGGCUGAGUGGGGGAGGUCGGGCGGCCGGAAGAAUGCUGGGGGCCUUAAAGUCCAGGGUCUGGGUCUGUCCUCCGGGCUCCUGCGGGGCUGGCCCCGCUCGCUGCGCUCUCCGCCCCGUGCCUCUCACAAGUCUCAGUCCACAUUGAGCAUAGCUCCUCAGCUCCUCUCAGCAGCUACCCCUCCCCCGCUUUUCCUCCCUCUCCAUUUUUCCACCCCCUUUCUCAGCCUUCUUCCCUCUGCCAUUCCUGAACGCUGCUGCACGGAGAGCCAGGUAUGUCUGAUGGUCUGAACAACAUCUGCCUGGAGUUUCUCUUAAAGACACAGCUGUGGCCAGUGGCUUCCAGUGCCAGCUCUGCCUUACUUCCUUGCCAUAAUUCGUAUGGCUUUGGACAUCCAAGUACACUCCCGAAGCUUUGUUCCCUCACAAGGCAAACAAGGACAAUCCUGACUUUCACAGGGAGCCUGGAAAGAUGAAGUGAGUUUGCCCCUGAGAUGACUGGUAAGCUGUGAACUCAGGCUGAACCACUUCCCAGGCUCUCAUUCUAAAGCUGUGCUCCUAACUGUACCUGGUUAAGGAUACUUUCUGCUCAAAAGCCAAUCUUGGAGGGUGGGGGGGGCUAGCCUGAGCUACAUGGUGGACGUCUUACCAGGCUGGCAAGAUGCCUCAGCAUGUAAAAGCACUUGCCAUGCAAGCAAUGACCUGAGUUUGACCUCAGAACUGAUGUAAAAGCAGAAGAAAGAAGCAGCUAUCCCAUGAGGUUGUCCUGACCAUAUACAUACCUCUGCAAGUUCUUUUUUGUUGUUGUUGUUUUUUGUUUUUCGAGACAGGGUUUCAGGGUUUCCCUGUGUAGCUUUGGAGCCUGUCCUGGAAGUAGCUCUUGUAAACCAGGCUGGUCUUGAACUCACAGAGACCUGCUUGCCUCUGCCUCCCAAGUGCUGGGAUUAAAGGUUGGUGCCACCACCACCCAGCCCACUGCAAGGUCUAUAUGCUGAGUGGGUCUUUGAGGCUGGUGGCUUACAUCUCUGGGGUUUUUAGUGUGUUUGUUUCAUUUCUUCCCCUCUGGCCAGAACACUGCAAUUGACUUUAUCUUUGGGACUGGUUCCUCUAUGUUCCUAAAACAGCUGGGCUACUUAUCAGGAGCUAAACAGCUCAGAAGUGAAUAUGCAUUCAUUUGUAGGUAAAGACAGGGUAGCAAUGCUACAAAGGUCACCAGAUCUUCUGGUAUCUGCAAAGCCAAAAGAAGAUUGAUUAGCGGUUACCAUUUUAACCGUUUAGGCAGGGCAACUAG